ACUGGGGUGAAGUCGUAACAAGGUAGCGCUAGGGGAACCUGGCGCUGGAUCACCUCCUUACACAAUGAU
rnacentral:rRNA from 1 species